GGCUACCAAAACCUUGCCAUGCAAACCCAAUACAGAGAUGAACAGGGUAAAACUUCACGGACUUAGAGGUGCUCAUAACCCCGAGCGGGGCGGUUUGCUACGCAGCCCCCUGAGGACUGUGGGCUUCCAGCCGGACGCAGAAGCAGGACUGAGGGGACACCAGCAUUUCAUUGACAAAUGCAGGCACUGGUGCAGAGUUUAGAUGGGGCUCUGGGAAGAUGAGGGAUAAGCACUGAAAUCACCUUGGUGAUCUGAACCUUGUGUCGUUCACUGCAAACUGCUCUGACCGUGACUUUAGUGCCAACCAACAGCUUUACCGCCGGCAGUGCCAGCUGAGCUUCUUGCCUCCUUCUCCUUCCCUCAGUAUGGUUUUGAAAUAACAUUUUAAUGGUGAAAGAAGACUCCAGAAGUUAACUUGAACGUUUAACUCCGGAACGGACUUCACGGUUCCCAGUCCCAAGCUAUUUACCCAUCCGUGGCUGGGCUUUCAGUUGACGUUAUUGACAGUUCAUCAAUCGCAUCCUGCCUUGCUGGUGGCCUUGGAUGCCUGCUUGCGCGCCUUGCCUUCUCUAUAUGAAGGCUUCAAAUCCUGGGUGUGGAGCAGCACCCCACCUUCACACCACACACCGACAGUAGGUGGAGGGGCUGGGGCUGGCCCCCCCUUUUUCCCGGAGGGCAGGGUUUCUCAGGCUCUUCUCUAGCGCCGUGCACACCCAAAUGCGUAGGCUUGCUGUGCAAUGCGUGUGAGGCUGCAGACAGCUCAGGUGAGGGAAGGAGCUGUUUCUGUCUGCUGAGGAAACCCUACCAGAGGGCUAAAAGCUGGGCUGGAUUUGCACAGGUGGCAGGAUGAUGUUUGGUGGAAAAGUGCUAGCUAGGUCCUACUUUGUAUCCCAUAAAAUCAGGAGUUCUUGGAUUAUGUUUCGUCUUCCUUUGACUUUUCAGUAGAUAAACCAAUGUUUAUUAGACUGUAGGGUAUAUGGACUGGCAGAAGCACUGACGUGGGUGUCCAGAGCUGUGCAGAUACGGGAUGCUCCCACGUGAGCGCUGGGGUGCUUUCACUCCGCUGCCUGCGAGCUGGGUGGUUAUUCCCCAGCCUUCUGGGUGUACCGUUCUCGUCACGGCUUCACCUGAGCGGGGUUUGAGGUACGUCUCGCGGCUUGAAUAGGAGCUGUAUCUGAGCUACGGCACUCAAACUGGGGAUUUCUGCUGUGGGAAAGACAACCAAAUAAAUAAAUAAGAAGUGAAGGAUGGAUGAGCUGGAAUGAGCUGUGAACUGACAGCUUUGUGACUGGUCUUGACUUAUUUCCUUUUUGUGGUCUAAAGCCAAGUGCCUCAUAAAUUCUGAAGACAUCAAAACUGUAACUAACAUAACUGAAACCAUCCUUGGAUUGCUGGAAAUAUACAGAGCACUGACUGUAACUAGAAGACAAAAGACAGCAAAAAGGGAAUGAGUUCCCUCCUCAAAGUGCUAUUUUUGGGUACUUCAGUUUUGACAUUACAGGCCGAAUCAGCAUACUGACACAAUUGUGGGCAUUCGGGGUCACACUGUGACUGUCCUACAAUUUAAAGUGGACCUAGAGAUGAAAAUAUUUUCACAGUUUAUGGUUCUGGGGUAUUUUACUGACUGUAAACAUCCUGGGAUUCUCAAACAGAUACCUACUAACCCUCUCACGCUCUGUCAGCCCUGAGGUGACACAUGGUAGACACCAUUUGGCAGCCACUGAGCAGCAUGCUGGUCUUGGGGGUUGUUUUGUGCUUUGCUCACUGGGUAGACAGGAGGGCUGUGGUCUUUUGGGGGGAGCAGAACAUAAAAUGAGAGCAGCUGCAUGGGGUCUGGUCAAAGCCCCAUCCAGUCCGGGACCAUUUUUCUUAGGACUGGCCAAAAAUGGGAUGAGCCAUGCGAAUGGGUCAAAUGGUUUGUAGCUAAGAGGAGUCCUGAGGGUUACUGAGAGGGUUACUAGCUUUGUGCUUCAGAGUCUGUGGUGCAGCUGUCUGCCAUGAGUCUGUCCUAGAUCUCUUUAAUCCAUAUAAGCAUCUGCAACACCCUCUGGCAGGACUCGCAGCUUAACUCUCUAUUAAGGUUAUUUAGUGAAGAGCUGGGGAAUUAGAAAAUGCACUACGGUAACAGUACUCCAGCUGCAACUUGAUAUCUAGCAUCGUGCAACGACCAACAAACCUUCUCCAGGGUACGUGCGAGCGAGAGCUGCUAACUUUCCAGUGGCAACAGUUCACUGUGCGAUUGUGCGUAGCAAUUUCCUGGCUGCCAUCAAUUCCUUUUGUUGUUUCCUCAGAAGAGCCACAGGGCAGCUGACACACAGCAAUGAAUUCCAGAAAAGCACUAGCUUUUCAGAUGGCCGGGUUCUGGGUGUUUUCCCCCAGCUUCACAGAAGUUGUCUCUAAAUAAUAGUUUUGUACCAUGCAUUAGAAGCUUUGGAGUAGAUUCCCAGGAGCCCCACACUUGCUAAGCUUAAGUCUGACAUCCCCAGCAGGACAAAUUGCUUACCCAGAACUGGAGAUGACUGAAGACUCCGUACAUCUAUUACAAGUCUCCCACAGCUAAUUCUGACGCGUAUGUACACGUUUUUGUGCAUCAAGACCAGGUCGGUCCAAAAGCUUACUUCCUCUUGUCUGGGGGUGGAACCAGUCUGUUGUGGCUUGUUCGGAUGGGGCAAACUCCCGACUGCUGGCCUGUCAACGCACUUUCUGUAUUUGUAGAUGAGGUAGGCUGUAGGUCAGGCAUCUGAAUCCUUCCUGGUAGUUAUCUUAGUUUUACUAUUUUUAUAAACCUAUGCCAAACAAGCAGGAAUUACAAAAUAUUUGACUUCCUGCCCCAAAUCAAGCAGUCUUGUGGUACGUCUGGGUGCAAGACAAGCAGGAUGCGGUUCCUUUACAGGGCUUCCUGCUCCCCUUCCAGCCUCGCUUUCUGUCCUUCUGGAUGUAGUUCACCUACCUUGUCUGUGUAUGCCAGCACUGUAUUCUGUCUGCAUUCAUCAAAUCUCUUAUCAGAACAUGCUCGAUCUUUAAACAAUUUAUUUCACUGAGUAAUUUUAGAUAUUAGAAACCUGCUUCAAAUUCAGCCGGGAAGGUACCACGUCUCCUCACCCGGAGAAGCAUCUAGAGACUCACCUGGGAGUAAAAAUGAAACAGAGUUGGAGACCUGGCUUAAGUGGUCUGAGCCAUCUUCCUGACCAGCGAUGGCCCAAGACAGGGAACCUUCUUCAGUGCCACAGAUCUUUCAUACACAGACACCGCUGUGGGAACAUGCCUGAGGGAGCCAUCUUUAUAACGGUAAAUUAAAUGGUGCCAGGACAUGAGCCCAGAAUAGAAACCUGCCUGUCUAUCCUGUUGGUUUGUUAGGACGGGCCACAGCAUGCUUCUGGCCAGGCUGACAGCUUUCCCUGGCAGGGCUCGGGAGCUGGUGCGGGACAUGUUCAGUAGCAGGUUUGGAUGCUGCUGCCCUGGUUUGGAAGGUAAGGCAGCCUGACAGUACACACAGGCCACAUCUGUAAGAAACAAAACUAAUCAGUUCUGAAUCUUCGCCCUAGUUCUAGGUCUGUGAACCCCAUUCUCCUGACCCCAGCGCUGAAUCUGACCCAUCUGAUAGUAUUACUUUUCCUCUUGGCUUCUUUUUUUUUUUUCCCUUCUUCCUUUUCUUCCUCUUCUUCUGCCCUUUCCUUCCUGGGAAAAGAACUAACCUUUCU